rnacentral:lncRNA from 10 species
CUGGAGUAGCUGGCACUACAGGCAUGCGCCACCAUGCGUGGCUAAUUUUUCUAUUUUUUGUGGAGACGGGAUUUCACCAUGUUGCCCAGGCUGGUCUCGAACUCCUGAGCUCAAGUAACCCACCUGCCUCUGCCUCCCAAAGUGCUGGGAUUACAGGCAUGAGCCACCACACCUGGACUUAUUUUUAUUAAUAUCUUUUUGGUAACGGUAAAAGAAUCCUCCUUUCCAAAGGUAUCCACAGUAGGUGGCUAAAGUGUAGUGGUUCAGCAAACAUGCUUCAGAAACAGGGGUCUGGCUCCUGCUCCAUCCCUUAGUAGGCAUGUAAAUUUGGAUAAAUUACUUAACUUCCCUGAAUCUCACUUGCUUCAUCUGUAAAAUAGGCAAAAGAAUAUUUCCUCAUGAUAAUAUGAAUGUAUAAAAGUACAGUGCUUGGCAUAUAGAAAGAGCUCGGGAGACUGUAGUCUUCUCCAAGAAUAAGAACAGGAUUUAAGAGAGGGCAGAGCUGGGGUUAAGAUCAACAAUACAGGGCAAAUGGGAACAAGAGGGCUCAGCUGGAAUGGGAGGUCACAGGGGAAAGGUGAAAGAACAAAAAGAAGAAAGAAAAAAGAGAGGCCAAAAAUAAUAUGUCUUUAUACUAGGUAAGAUUUCAUCAAACGCUUUUCUUAUUCAGAACUACUUUAGUCAAAACUUGUGAAAUAGGCAAAGUUCAUCCUUGCCAGCACUCCCCUGCCCCCAACUUCUCCACUUUUAGCACGUCUCUGAACCCUCUGGUGCCUGUGUUAUAAAUAGUCAUGUUUUUCAGGGACUGUACUGACCAGCAGCCCUACUAAAGAGCCUUCUCCAACUCCAGGAACACCACUUCUCACAAAGAUAUUAUUUGCAUGAUGAGUGACUCCAGAAUAAACAGAAAAGAGGAUUUUUUUUAAAAGGAAUGGAUUUGAAAGAGGCAUUUGACAAUUUAUCAGGAUGAUACCUCUCUGAAAAAAGCAUUGCUUAAGGGGCUUACAUGACAGUUAAACAAGAAAUGCUCCAAGCUGCUUCUGAAACAGAAGAUGGGGCUUUGUAUCCAGUAUCGAAUGUGCUUCUGCUAGAUGAGAAAAAUCCACUUCCAGCUUAGGCCCCCAUCCUCCCAGGGGUGCAAGGCUACCUAGGCAGAGAAGCCACAUCCAACUAACUUCGGGCACUUCUCAGAUAUGGUGGGGCAGGGGUGAGCAGAGCCUCUUCGACAACACAACUGAAGGCCCUGUACCUGGUGACUGAACAGGUCCAUUAGCAGAGGUCACCCUCAAACCAGUAAAUACCAUCUCCAAGGAGAGGCGCUAGAACACUGUGAGAUCCUCACAAGAGGGUAAGCACAACAUCUCCUCUGUAAAGAAAGAAGACUCGACAAGUGGGCUUUAAAAAGGAACCCUGAGCAAUAGGAGCCCAGGGACCAGAGCGUGCAGUGGUUUCACCCAGACAACAUGAUCUCCUGGGCUGGGGCCACCUCUCUCCAGCCCAAUCCCAUCUGUGUCCACUUUAAAGAAACAGUCUUUGAGAUGAAGGACAGAAAUAUUAAAGGCCUACCCUUCCCUCUGUGGGAAGCCUCUCAAGCUGCCCAUGAGAAUCAGAAUAAAUGCUUCCUAGUGGCCAAAGAGACAAGCAGUGAAGUCCACAGUACAGAGAAGGAGCUGCAGAUGGAAUCAGCAUCUCUCGAUACCAUAUGACCCAGGAGCAGGAGGACCACCCAACCCCACAGCAGGGAGAGCGCUGCCCAGAUAGGGGAGGGGAUGAGGGCCAACCAGGGGCAAUCAGAUAAAGAACCACUCUUAGGAUGGUGAACAGAAACACUGAAGCUGGGAUAGCCCCCUGUCAGGGCCAUUUGUCAUUUCCACAGGCCAAGAACCUGGACGCUGUCCCCACAUUGGGGAACCCUCCAAUGCAUAAGCCAAAUGGGAACUGGAAACACUUCCUUGUUCCCCCAACCCCAGGGCUCUCUCUGCCUGUCACACACGCCUGCCCCAGCAGUGGAAUUCAGAGUCCGCGAACGAAGCAGCAGGAACUGGGCGGCAGUCGCUGUUUCAAGGUGAAAACACCCUACAUUAGCUGCGACACUUACCAUAGUCAAUUUUUUUUCAACUAACACAAACAUUUACAAUUUUAUUCUUACACUUGUAGCAAGGGCCCCUCCCUUUCUCUCCCCACUCCCAUCCACAAAGGCAGAAACAGAAAAUAACAAUAUCACAAUAACCAGGAGGAAAUAACUGGCCAUUGUACCUGCCUUUUAUAGACAGAUGUUUCUUGGGAUUUGCCCACAACACUUAAAGGCCCAUUUGUGAUUCUGAUAACCUAAGACUUUAAACUCUAUUACACACUGAUUGCUGCCCAGAGCCUCAGGCUCCAGUUUACAAGCCUGUUCUGCCUUCCUGCAGGCUCUCUAUGCUUAUAAAUGACACCUUCCAGUGUCUUAAAGUAUGAAAGGCAGCUAGUCCUGAAUUCCCAGGCUGCUAAUGGUUUCACAUAAAAUGAGCUCCUACAAUUUUAUUACCACCCUGGUGCAACUUCACAGGUGAGGAGCCACCAGGGAAAGGAUGAGGCCAUGUCUCUCACUCCUGGCCUUCUGACUUUUCCAAGCACAAGGAACUUUUCCACUCAAUAUUGCAAAUGACUGCUCCAACUCCCAAGGCUGCUGAUUAAUCCAAACAAGGUCUACUAUAUCACUUAAAGAAACCGAGAGUAAGUCAUCAAGUCGUCUCUCUGGAGAGAGGGAUGUUGUGAAUUCACUUCCUAAAUUCACAGCUGUAAAGCUGAUUAGGCCACUGAUCCUCUCUAUUUUUACUUAAAUAUAUAUAUUUAAUGGGUAUCAGUUCACUUUGCAUGUUGGGAAAUAACUAGUGGAAAAUAUUAAAUUUCACAUUCCAAUCAGAUAUGCCAGACACGAGUUUUGUCUACAGGCUCACAACACAAAGAUUAUUGUACUUGGAGAAGUGAUCGUGCUAACUACACAAGUAAAAAUGUUCCGAUGGGUUUUGUAAACUUCACGUUUUAGUACCUCUGCAUUUAUAUGAAGUUUUAAUAACACACAACAUGCCAAAUACAGCACCAGUGGGCUGCUUCUGAAAGAAAACAACUCCCAAAAGCCUUUAAAACAGAGUUGAUUACCAGAAAAUACAUGAAAUUCACAUGUGCAGGUAUAUCUAACUUUCAGCAUUUUCUUCAUUUUGACAGUGACUUAUGGCAGGCUAAAUACGUGAAUGCAGGUCUGAGAUUAUGUAGCAACAUUAUUUCUCCUGGGAGAAAAACAAUCUAAAACCAUACAAACUAAUUUUUCAAUUUUCAAAAGUGGUUGACUAAUAAAUGCUUAGUAGGGGAAACCUUAGUUUUUUAGUCUCUUUUAAAAACAGAAAAAGCAAAUUAACUUUUAAAUGCCAAGUGUGAAAAACAGUUCAAUGUGGCAGACUCUAGCUUUAAAACUUAAAAAAAAUUUCAAAUUCAAAUAAAACAAAAUGCCACAUAAGUGGCUUACAUAAAAAAGACUUCAAAACCCAACAAAACUGAACUUAAAACUCGCACACAGAAAAUUUUCCUUUUUAAGACCAAAGAUCUUCCAAGACCAUUUGUCAUAGGCUUAGAAGUGGUGAAAACUAAACCAGCUGCCAAAAAUUAUUUACUUUGUAGCACCAACAACUAAGGAUAUAACACCCACUAACUGACCUGCCGAGAAAAUGCAAGGUUAAUUUAUUCUGCAUGCUUUUGAUUUUACUUUCUGUUAAAACAAUACUCAUCAUCACAUUCAACGCUUUCUUUAAGUAUUUUAUCUUCAUCAAAAAUAAAGACGAGAAAGGAACACAGAAAAAAAGGAGGGGGUGGCAAGAAACAAAUCCAGAUGUCUGAGUCAGAAAUUAAAGAUUAUCCCAUUAAUUAAAUCUAUGAUAAAGUACUGAUGAAUACUCUUUUCCUCUCAAAAGUGUCGGAUUAAAAAAUGAAAUGAUCACAAUAUUUACUACAUUUCUGGCAUAUUUUUAUGCACUUUUUUUCAGAUUCAAAAGCACCAGCCCAAACACAAAACCAGUGUGAACUCCGUGGACAGAAAGUUCUGAGCAGCGCCGGUACUAGAUGAGUCAUAACUGCAGACAAUCCUGCAAGUGUAGCCACCACUGGAGCCAGUUUAUUAGUCCCGAAAUAUAUAAAUUCUUUGUAACUGAAGCUCUGGAAUGUCAUGUCUUAAAUUACAUCCACCUGGGACUACAUUCUGAUGACCAAUCGGGUAGAUUACUGGAACUUGAAAACCUUACUUUUUUGGUAAUUGACAUUUAAACUGUUUGAAGUUUCUCAUUAAGGUCUCUUAACAAAUUAACUGCAGAUGUAGGAAGCGAAGUACAUAAUACACAGAGAAGUGAAGUCACCUGAAAGCUCCAAAUAACUGGCAGUAUUUAAAUGUACAUUAUAAGCACAUUAAGGUGAGCAUGAACUGGCCCCAUAAGCUGCAGAGUUCCACCACGUUUUGUCUAUUCCAAUUAGGUUUCACAGCGCACUGUGAAUGUAAUUUAAGUAAAAGAGAAAGGCAAGGGGUUCAAAUGACAUGGGACUAACACUUAGGCCAGGUUACAGACUGAAAGGCUAACUUGAUGGAGGCCGAAAGAGAUUAAACAUCUCCACUGGCUCCUUGUUGCCAAUAGGAUGUAAAUCUGAAGUCAGUCCUGGGCUGGCCUGGGAAUCCCUUCACAGUCUGGCCUCAACCUCCCCCGCUCUCAACGUCAUGCCCAGCCCCUGGGAAUCCCAUACUCCACAAUUACCUGCUCAUAACUCCCCUACCGGGCCUGUGCCCUCUGCCAAGAACACUCUUCCCUCUGCCAUACUUUAAACUCUGCCCAGAGGGCAGCUUCCCUGGGAAUGAUCCAGGUGCCCUCCAAAAGCCACCCCUGCCUCUGUAUUCUCACAGCAUUGUUGCACUGAUCCCUGCUUCACCACCGGCCAUGGCAUCUUCGUUUCAGUCAACAUUUACUCAGGAUCUACCACAGGCCAAGGUACUGCACUGGCCACUUGAAGACUAAGACACAAUACUGGUGGAAUUACUCCUCCCAGGCCUCUUCCACGCAGCCAGCCACCUCACACCGCACCCUUCUUAGAAAGCAGGCAAAAGGAGCCCGUAUCUCACGUGAGAUGCGCCAAAGCACCUUCUGGAACCUGGCACAGCAAAGAUCCUCAGGAAAUGUUCUUCCC